ensembl:lncRNA
CUGAGGAUGGAUCAGAAGAAGACUGGAAUGAAAGUGAGGAGGCCAGUGUAGACCUAGACUUGCUCUUCCUGAAGGACAAUGUAAAGACUGACAUAGAUAGAGGAAAAGAAAGGAGAUUGGAAGAGGAGAACAAAUCAAGACAGCUAGAAGUGGAGACACAGAGAGAAAUUAAAACUGUGAGACUGAAAGAAGAGGAGAGCAAGAGGAUAGCCAUGGUGGAAAAACUGAAAGAGGACGAAGGGAGGAAGAGAGGGAUGGAAGCAGAAAUGGAGAGAAAGGAACAGGAGGAGAGGCUGAGAGAAAAGGAAAGGACCAAACUAAGAGAAGAGGAGAGAAAGAAAAAAGAGAUGCAAGAGAAGACAAAGAGAGAGCUGGAGCAGAUAACACAAAGAGAGAGGGAGGAGAAGGGGAAGAAAGCCAAAGUGGCCAAGAAAUUACUUCAGGCACGUGACAGCGAUGACAUUGACAUAGAGAGCUUGAGUGAUGAAGAUAUGUGGAAGGAUAAGGAGCUCCCAAUGGACCAAAAGAAAAGGCAGACAAAAGACGAAAAGGAACAUGCAUGGCUACAGGAAAAACACAACAAAGAGAAGGAGGAUGAGAAUCCUUGUAACAGGGAUUGCAGUGACCCCAAGACUGUGACUAAUUCAAAUAGUUUGUGGAUGCAUAAGGCCAAGAGCCCAAAGCUGUCAGUCAACAAUGCAUGGAAGAUCCAGCAAUUUGAUAAUACAGAGACUGAUAAUGUCAAACAAGGUCAUUCUGAGGAAGGCGACACACUUGUGAUGACACUCAGUAAUGAUGAUAUGAAUACAUGGACCCAGCUAAAGGCAAAAACAGAUGAAGAGGACGCAGAGAGAGAGAAACAGAGGCAGAUGGAUGAAAAGAGGAUGAGAGAGGUGGACAAUGGAGGAAAGAAAAAAGAGAGAAAACAAGGAGAGAUGGUAGCACAGAAAGAAAACAAGACACCCAGGAUGAGCAGAGACUUAGAAAUCAUCCAAAAGAUACAGGAGGAAAGAAAGAAAAAAGAGAUGGAGAAAGCAGCACUGAAGGAGCAAAAACAUGACAAGAGGAGAAAGAUAGAGAUUGAGGAGGAGAAAGCAAGAGAGAAGGACAGAAAAGUGAGAGAAAGGGAGGAGAUGAGAAAGACUGAAGAGGUGAUGAACAGGAGGGGGGAGGCUCUGUCAGGAGACAGCAAUGACAGCGACUGGGCGACUGACUCCGAUGACUUGUGGAUGGAUGAGUUGGAGAGACGGGAAACAGAAAGAAAGAGAGAGGAGAUUGAGCAAGUGAGAGUGGAGACAGAGCAAAAAAGAGAGGAACAGGAAAGAAGGAUGGAGGAGAUGGAGCAAAAAAGAGAGGAAGCAGAAAUUGAAAUACACAAUAAAAGGGAGAAACAUGAAGACCAGAGGCAAAAAGGAAAGGAGAGACAAGAGGGAAGUGAGAAUUCAGGAAAAGAAAAGAAGGAGAUGGAGAUGAAGGAGGAUGAGAAAGUCAAAGAGCCACAGACGAGAGACGAGAGGAACACAGAUAUGAUGCGGGAAAUAGAGGAGGAGACCUCCCAGCUGUGGAAGUCCAUGGGACUAUCCUUUGAAGACACUGAGGAUGGAUCAGAAGAAGACUGGAAUGAAAGUGAGGAAGCCAGUGUAGACCUAGACUUGCUCUUCCUGAAAGACAAUGGAAAUACCGAAAUAGAUAGAGGAAAAGAAAGGAGAUUGGAAGAGGAGAACAAAUCAAGACAGCUAGAAGUGGAGAGACAGAGAGAAGUGAAAACUGUGAGACUGAAAGAAGAGGAGAGCAAGAGGAAAGCCAUGAUGGAAAAACUGAAAGAGGAUGAAGGGAGGAAGAGAGGGAUGGAAGCAGAAAUGGAGAGAAAGGAACAGGAGGAGAGGCUGAGAGAGAAAGAAAGGGCCAAACUAAGAGAAGAGGAGAGAAAGAAAAAAGAGAUGCAAGAGAAGACAAGAAGAGAGCUGGAGCAGAUAACACAAAGAGAGAGGGAGGAGAAGGGGAAGAAAGCCAAAGUGGCCAAUAAAUUACUCCAGGCACGUGACAGCGAUGACAUUGACGUAGAGAGCUUGAGUGAUGAAGAUAUGUGGAAGGAUAAGGAGCUCCCAAUGGACCAAAAGAAAAGGCAGACAAAAGAUGAAAAGGAACAUGCAUGGCUACAGGAAAAACACAACAAAGAGAAGGAGGAUGAGAAUCCUUGUAACAGGGAUUGCAGUGACCCCAAGACUGUGACUAAUUCAAAUAGUUUGUGGAUGCAUAAGGCCAAGAGCCCAAAGCUGUCAGUCAACAAUGCAUGGAAGAUCCAGCAAUAUGAUAAUACAGAGACGGAUAAUGUCAAACAAGGUCAUUCUGAGGAAGGCGACACACUUGUGAUGACACUCAGUAAUGAUGAUAUGAAUACAUGGACCCAGCUAAAGGCAAAAACAGAUGAAGAGGAUGCAGAGAGAGAGAAACAGAGGCAGAUGGAUGAAAAGAGGAUGAGAGAGGUGGACAAUGGAGGAAAGAAAAAAGAGAGAAAAAAGGGGGAGAUGGUAGCACAGAAAGAAAACAAGACACCCAAGAUGAGCAGAGACUUAGAAAUCGUCCAAAAGAUACAGGAGGAAAGAAAGAAAAAAGAGAUGGAGAAAGCAGCACUGAAGGAGCAAAAAGAUGACAAGAGGAGAAAGAUAGAGAUUGAGGAGGAGAAAGCAAGAGAGGAGGAGAAAAAAGUGAGAGAAAGGGAGGAGAUGAGAAAGACUGAAGAGGUGAUGAACAGGAGGGGGGAGGCUCUGUCAGGAGACAGCAAUGACAGCGACGGGGCAACUGACUCCGAUGACUUGUGGAUGGAUGAGUUGGAGAGACGGGAAACAGAAAGAAAGAGAGAGGAGAUUGAGAAAGUGAGAGUGGAGACAGUGCAAAAAAGAGAGGAACAGGAAAGAAGGAUGGAGGAGAUGGAGCGAAAAAGAGAGAAAGCAGAAAUUGAAAUACACAAAAAAAGGGAGAGGGAGAAACAUGAAGACCAGAGGCAAAAAGGAAAGGAGAGACAAGAGGGAAGUGAGAAUUCAGGAAAAGAAGAGAAGGAGAAGAUGGAGAAGAAGGAGGAUGAGAAAGUGAAAGAGCCACAGACGAGAGACGAGAGGAACACAGAUAUGAUGCGGGAAAUAGAGGAGGAGACCUCCCAGCUGUGGAAGUCCAUGGGACUAUCCUUUGAAGACACUGAGGAUGGAUCAGAAGAAGACUGGAAUGAAAGUGAGGAGGCCAGUGUAGACCUAGACUUGCUCUUCCUGAAGGACAAUGUAAAGACUGACAUAGAUAGAGGAAAAGAAAGGAGAUUGGAAGAGGAGAACAAAUCAAGACAGCUAGAAGUGGAGACACAGAGAGAAAUUAAAACUGUGAGACUGAAAGAAGAGGAGAGCAAGAGGAUAGCCAUGGUGGAAAAACUGAAAGAGGACGAAGGGAGGAAGAGAGGGAUGGAAGCAGAAAUGGAGAGAAAGGAACAGGAGGAGAGGCUAAGAGAAAAGGAGAGAAAGAAAAAAGAGAUGCAAGAGAAGACAAGGAGAGAGCUGGAGCAGAUAACACAAAGAGAGAGGGAGGAGAAGGGGAAGAAAGCCAAAGUGGCCAAGAAAUUACUCCAGGCACGUGACAGCGAUGACAUUGAUGUAGAGAGCUUGAGUGAUGAAGAUAUGUGGAAGGAUAAGGAGCUCCCAAUGGACCAAAAGAAAAGGCAGACAAAAGACGAAAAGGAACAUGCAUGGCUACAGGAAAAACACAACAAAGAGAAGGAGGAUGAGAAUCCUUGUAACAGGGAUUGCAGUGACCCCAAGACUGUGACUAAUUCAAAUAGUUUGUGGAUGCAUAAGGCCAAGAGCCCAAAGCUGUCAGUCAACAAUGCAUGGAAGAUCCAGCAAUAUGAUAAUACAGAGACGGAUAAUGUCAAACAAGGUCAUUCUGAGGCAGGCGACACACUUGUGAUGACACUCAGUAAUGAUGAUAUGAAUACAUGGACCCAGCUAAAGGCAAAAACAGAUGAAGAGGACGCAGAGAGAGAGAAACAGAGGCAGAUGGACGAAAAUAGGAUGAGAGAGUUGGACAAUGGAGGAAAGAAAAAAGAGAGAAAACAAGGAGAGAUGGUAGCACAGAAAGAAAACAAGACACCCAGGAUGAGCAGAGACUUAGAAAUCGUCCAAAAGAUACAGGAGGAAAGAAAGAAAAAAGAGAUGGAGAAAGCAGCACAGAAGGAGCAAAAAGAGGACGAGAGGAGAAAGAUAGAGAUUGAGGAGGAGAAAGCUAGAGAGGAGGAGAUAAAAGUGAUGACGGAGCAGAUGGAGAGAACUAAACCAGAGAUGGUGAGAAAGGAAAAGGAGGAGAGCCUGAGAGAAAAAGAAAGGGCCAAACUAAGAGAAGAGGAUGAGAGGAAAAAGGUAGAGAUUGAGAUGGAGAAAGCCAGAGAGGAGGAGAGAAAAGUGAGAGAAAGAGCGGAGAUGAGAAAGAUUGUAGAGGUGAUGAACAGGAGGUGGGAGGCUCUGCCAGGAGACAGAGAUGACAGCGACGGGGCGACUGACUCCGGUGCCUUGUGGAUGGAUGAGGUGGAGAAGAGGCGUCAAGUGGAGGUCAUAAACCCCCAAAACAAACCUCAGGAAGAGGGGGAGAGAGGACACACCCAGCCUGGAAGUGCCCAAGUAAACGUAGA